CGCGCUACUUAAGGCCCAGCUGCGUGAGCCUUUGACGUGUUUGGAGCUGGAGACGGCCUGGGUGCUGGCGGAGUGGCCGUCCGAGUAAGAAGACUCUUAGGAUGCCUGUGGUAGCACGGAGGCUGAGAGAUCCUGACAUAAAUCCUUGCUUGUCGGAAUCAGAUGCUUCUACCAGAUGUAUGGAUGAAAAUAACUAUGACAGAGAACGGUGUUCUGCGCACUUCUUGAAGUACAAAAACUGCCGGAAAUUUUGGAAUUCUGUCAUGCUCCAGAGAAGACAGAAUGGAGUGAAGCCAUCUAUGCCUACAGCAGUAGAAAGAGGCGAAAUCUUGGGAGCAAUGGGAAAGAUGCCCUACUGAAUGUUUGCAUUGAAAUUGUCUAUAUAACUUAAAAGAAGAUGAAUAUUUUAAUAAAUAAUUAAUGUAAUCUAAGACCUUAGCAUGAAUUCUGCAAGGGGAGACAAAGUUAGCCCUGUGGCUUUUAUGUUUGUUUUCAGUGCCAUAAUGAUAGUAUGCUUCUAAUGACUGUCUUGUGCCACUUAGUUUACAUUACUUCCUGGAGGUCAGAGAGUGUUUGACAGGCUACCUCAGGAGUUGAGCUGAGUGUCUGAAAGGCUACAUGAAAAGCUGAGCUUUUUCACUGGGUUUCAAAAGAAAAGGAAGAUGUGAACAAGUAAAGACCUUAAUAGAGAUGCGAGGAAGGCAGUGUUUCCAAAGAGGGGAAAUGAUGUAAACAACGACAUGAUGGAAGGAAAGUGUGAACCAGAUUUGGAUUCUUCUACCCAAAGUUCUAAGUGCGUGGAGGAGUGAUAGGAGACUGGGGAGAUUUAUUAUUUAUACAAGCACUGGAUACAGUCAGAAGCACGGGAGGGUGAGAGAAUUCACCAGAGCCAGAGCAGGGAGCAGAGCAGGCAGAAGGACCGAAGUACACUGCUGAGGGGAGCAGCGGGCAGCAGGAGAGGUCUGCGCGCCAUGUGGGACCCUCCUCUGGUGGCCGGGGAGCAGCCGGGGAUCGAACUGGUGCUGCAGAGGCUGUGGGCAGCUUCGCAACCCAGCGCUCAACCGCUGCGCCACCGGGGAGGCCCUAAACUCAAAAAUCUUAAUAAAUGUGAUUCUAUUUGAAUACAAGAUGAAUUAUUUCAGCACUUCUUUGAUUUGUAACUGCUAUAAAAAUGAUAGAUUAAAAUAGGACCUGACAAAUAGUUAAUAUACUAUGUGUGAAGCAUUUUAGUACUUUUCAGCAUAUUUGUUUAAGGGUUUGGAAUUUUAAUGUCAGCUCUUUAAAUAUGCAUACCAAUAUCAACAUUCAUCCAGUAGCCAUUUGUCUCAUUAUAGCUCUUUUUCUAAAAAAAGGCAACUUAAUUGAUAAACCGUUCAUACUAUAUAAAUCAUUAUUUAAAGUAUGUAAUACAAUGGUUUUUAAUAUAUUGACAAAGAUAUGAAGCCAUCACCACGAUUGAUUUUAGAGUGUAUUCUCAGUUUCCUAACACUUCUCACCAACUCCAACUUGGCAACUGCUUUCUGCCUUUGGAAUACCUUUUCCUGGACAUUUGUAUAAAUGGGAUUAUAUAAAAUGUAGCAUUUUAUGACUGGCUUACCCUCAUGUUUUUCAAGAGAGUCAUUCAUACUGUUGCAUGUUUCAUUCCUUUUAAUUGCUGAAUAACAUUCCAUGGUAUGGACAAAUCACAUUUUAUUCAUCAGUUUAUAGGUAUUUGAGUGGUUUCCAUUUUUGACUAUUAUGAGCUAUCCUGUGUCUUAAACAAUUUGUGAGCAAUUUUUGUAUGUGUUUGGGCAGCCAUUUCUUUUUGGAUAUAUAUAUAACUAGGAAUUGAAUUUGUACAAUAUGGCAACUAUGCUAACCUCUUGAACUAACAAACUAUUAUCCAAAGUGGCAGCUUCAUUUGACAGUGUGUGAGAACUUCAUUCUCCUUAACUGUAUCUGCCUUUGACUAUCACCAUCCUAGUGGGGAAGAACUGCUAUCUUUUUAUGGUCUUAAUUUGCAUUUCCCUGAUGGCUAAUCAUGUUGAACAUCUUUUUAUGUGCAUAUUGGCCACUUUUAUGUCCUCUUUGGAGAAAUAUUUAGAUCUUUUGCCUAUUUUUAAAUUGGAUUGUGUGUUACUGAGUAUAUAUAUACUGUACUCCAUAGACAUCUCUUAUCAGGUAUAUGUUUGGCAAAAUAUUUUUCUGAUUCUGUGGAUUGUAUUUUCACUUCAUGAAAGUUUAUAAUUUUGAUACAGUCCAAUUUUUUUUUCUUUUGUUUUUCGUGUCAUAUCUAAGAAGGUCUUGCUUAAUUGAAGAUCACAGAGACUUGUACCUGUCUUCUAAGAGUUUAUGGUUUUAGCUCAUAUUUGGUCCAUUUUGAGUCCAUUUUUGUAUAUGGUAUAAGGUGGGAGACCAACUUCAUUCUUUUGUAUGUGAUUAUGCAGUUGUCUUAGCACAUUUUGUUGAAAAAUCGGCUUUCCCUGUCAAUUGCCUUGGCACCCUUGUUGCAAGUCUAUUGAUUGAAUAUGUCAGAGUUUAUUUAUGGACUUAAAAUUCUAUUCCAUUCACCAUGGUAUUCCAGCACUACCCUGUCUUGAUGCAGUAGCAUUAUCCUUAUGCCAUAGUACUUUGAUGACUGGUUUCUGAAGUGUUUUCUAUGAAGUACUAUUGAUGACAAACUAAGUGGGUUUUUUAAAUCAGGAAACCCUUAACAUGUUGUAGUGUGGCCUAAAAGAUCAUAUUAUUCUAAAUUGUCUUUGAUAAUUCCCUAUUUCCUUAUUUUCAUCUUUUGCACAAACCCUAAUAACAUGAGUAUACUCUUCUCAUAACCAGGCUGUUCAAGAUCUCAUUGCCCCACUUUGGAGGGCUAGAAUCCCAAGGAUUUUCAUUGCCACUAUUGUAUUUCUCCUAGCUUUUACUUUGAGAGAGGUAAGCUGAUAAACUAAUUGUCAGGAUGUUAGUAGGUGCUGUGGGAAAUCUUUGAUAUUGUCUUUGAUAUCAAUUAUCAGUUAAUAAUAUACAGAAGGCAUCUUACUGUAU